rnacentral:rRNA from 1 species
UGAGUACGAGAUGCUACGGCAUCGAAGCAGUCUAUGUCAUACUUCCAAGAAAAGCUUGCACUGUCAUAAACAAAGAAUGCCUGUACCAUAACCGACACAGGUGGGUAGGUAGAGUAUACUAAGGGGCGCGAGAUAACUCUCUCUAAGGAACUCGGCAAAAUGACUCCGUAACUUCGGGAGAAGGAGUGCCUUAUUUCUAAGGCUGCAAUAACAAGAUCCAAGCAACUGUUUACCAAAAACACAGGUCUCCGCUAAGUCGUAAGACGAUGUAUGGGGGCUGACGCCUGCCCAGUGCCAGAAGGUUAAAGAAGUUGGUUAGCAUUAGCGAAGCUGAUAACUGAAGCCCUGGUGAACGGCGGCCGUAACUAUAACGGUCCUAAGGUAGCGAAAUUCCUUGUCGGGUAAGUUCCGACCCGCACGAAAGGCGUAAUGAUUUGGAUACUGUCUCGGAGAGGGGCUCGGUGAAAUAGACUUGUCUGUGAAGAUGCGGACUACCUGCACCUGGACAGAAAGACCCUAUGAAGCUUUACUGUAACUUGAGAUUGAAAUUGGACUUUAUUUGCGCAGUAUAGGUGGGAGGCGUUGAGAAUAAUCUUGCGGGAUUGUUGGAGCCAUCAGUGAGAUACCACUCUUGUAAUGUUAGAUUUCUAACUUUGUAUCAUUAUCUGGUCAAAGAACAGUUUCAGGCGGGCAGUUUGACUGGGGCGGUCGCCUCCCAAAGGGUAACGGAGGCGCACAAAGGUUUCCUCUGAACGGGUAGAAAUCGUAUCUAGAGUGUAAAGGCAUAAGGAAGCUUGACUGUGAGACCUACAAGUCGAGCAGGGACGAAAGUCGGUCUUAGUGAUCUGACGGUGCUGAGUGGAAAGGCCGUCACUCAACGGAUAAAAGUUACUCUAGGAUAACAGGCUGAUCUCCCCCAAGAGUUCACAUCGACGGGGAGGUUUGGCACCUCGAUGUCGGCUCAUCGCAUCCUGGGGCGGUAGUCCGUCCCAAGGGUUGGGCUGUUCGCCCAUGAAAGCGGUACGCGAGCUGGGUUCAGAACGUCGUGAGACAGUUCGGUCCAUAUCCGGUGUAGGCGUUAGAAUAUUGAGAGGAGCCUUCUCUAGUACGAGAGGACCGAGAAGGACAUACCUCUGGUGUACCAGUUAUCGUGCCAACGGUAAACGCUGGGUAGCUAUGUAUGGAGUGGAUAACCGCUGAAAGCAUCUAAGUGGGAAGCCCACCUCAAGAUAAG